rnacentral:rRNA from 1 species
CUGAAACUCGCCUACAUGAAGCUGGAGUUACUAGUAAUCGCAGAUCAGAAUGCUGCGGUGAAUGCGUUCCCGGGUCUUGUACACACCGCCCGUCACACCACGGAAGUUGGGGGCGCCCGAAGCCACUUAGCUAACCCUUUUGGGAAGCGAGUGUCGAAGGUGAAAUCAAUAACUGGGGUGAAGUCGUAACAAGGUAUC